rnacentral:rRNA from 1 species
AUUGAACGCUGGCGGCAUGCUUUACACAUGCAAGUCGAACGGUAACAGGUUAAGCUGACGAGUGGCGAACGGGUGAGUAAUGCAUCGGAACGUGCCCGAUCGUGGGGGGUAACGCAGCGAAAGCUGCGCUAAUACCGCAUACGAUCUGAGGAUGAAAGCGGGGGACCGUAAGGCCUCGCGCGAUCGGAGCGGCCGAUGUCAGAUUAGGUAGUUGGUGGGGUAAAGGCUCACCAAGCCAACGAUCUGGAGCUGGUCUGGGAGGACGACCAGCCACACUGGGACUGAGACACGGCCCAGACUCCUACGGGAGGCAGCAGUGGGGAAUUUUGGACAAUGGGCGAAAGCCUGAUCCAGCAAUGCCGCGUGCAGGAAGAAGGCCUUCGGGUUGUAAACUGCUUUUGUACGGAGCGAAAAGGCCCUCUCUAAUACAGUGGGCUCAUGACGGUACCGUAAGAAUAAGCACCGGCUAACUACGUGCCAGCCGCCGCUGUAA